rnacentral:rRNA from 1 species
CAAAUAUAGAGUUUGGUGAUGGCUCUGAAUGAAUGCUGUCCAAGCGCUUGACACAUGCUAAUCGUACGUUUCAAUUAGUGCGCAAGCUAUUAAUUGAAAAGUGGUGUACAGGUGAGUAAUAUGAUACUUACGCCUACCUUAAAGUAAAAUUAGAUUUUUUAUAUAAAGAAAGGGAAAAAUUCCCGCUUUAAGAGGACAACAAGUGUCGACAAGAGAGGUAGUAGUCGAAGUGAUGGUUUAACUAGCCUGUAUCUCUUGUAACCGUAUUUGAAAAAAUGAUCGGUCACAUUGGGUCUGAAAAAAGCCCAAUGCAUAUUAGUACAGCAGUGGGGAAUAUUGGUCAAUGGCCUAAGGGCUGAACUGGUGACUUGGAAAAGUGAUAAGUUCUAGUUUGAUAAUAAAAAAAAUUAUCUAGAGAAUUGUAUUUUAUAAAGAAUAAAGCUUUGUUUGUAUAUUUAUAAUGACAAUAUAUGUAUUUAGUCUUGACCAAUUACGUGCCAGCAGUCGCGGUAAUACGUAAGAGACAAGUGUUAUUCAUCUUAAUUAGGUUUAAAGGGUACUUAGACGGUCUAAGUAAAAAAAAUAAAUACUAGACUAGAGUUGUAUAAAAGAGAAUAGUACUUGAGGAGGAGGGAUUAUAUCCAUUUAUACCAAAGGGACUCGGUAAAUGCGAAGGCAAUUCUCUAGGUAACAACUGACGUUAAAGGACGAAGGCACAGAGAACAAAAAGGAUUAGAUACCCAAGUAGUCUUUGCAGUAAAUGAUGAACGUCAUAGGUUAGAAAGACAUUAGUAUUUUCACUUUAAUAGUAAAAAGUGAAAGUAUUAACGCAAUUUAGUCUAUAAAUGAAAGUGUAAGCGUUUCACCUCAAGAGUAAUGUGGCAACGCAGGAACUGAAAUCACUAGACCGUUUCUAACACCAGUAGUGAAGUAUGUUGUUUAAUUCGAUGACCCACGAAAAACCUUACCAUAACUUGAAUAUUUUACAGGAGUUGCACGGCUGUUUUCAGUUAAUGUUGUGAAACUGUGGUUUCCACGUAAUUAACAUAAUCCCUUACUUUAUUUUUUAAGGCGCAAGCUAUUACUAUAAAGUAUUAUUCCUAAAAAUCAGGAAAAAUAAAGGGGACAAAGACAAGUCAUCAUGGCCUUGAUGUUAUGGGCUAUAGACGUGCCACAUGUGCCUAAACAAAGAGAUGCAAAAACGUGAGUUUAAGCUAAUCUCUCAAAAUAGGAUAUAAAUAUUAAGGAUUGUAGUCUGAAAUUCGACUAUAUGAAUAGGUAAUUACUAGUAAUCGUGAAUCACCAUGUCACGGUGAAUAUAACUUUGGAUUGGUACUAACUACUCGUCGCAUGCUGAAAGGAAAUCAUGUAGUAAGUUUGCUAUAUUUAAUAAUAAGCAAAAAAAUAAUAUGAUUUAUACUUAUAUUAAUAUUCUUCGUAUAUGUGUUUCUGAUUAGUGUUAAGUCGAAAUACGGUUCGUGUAGUGGAAGUUGCACGGGGAUUAUUAAUUUU